rnacentral:rRNA from 1 species
CCUACGGGGGACAGCAGUGGGGAAUAUUGCACAAUGGGCGAAACCCUGAUGCAGCGACGCCGCGUGAGUGAUGAAGGUCUUCGGUAUGUAAAGCUCUUUUAGCAGGGAAGAAAAUGAUGGUACCUGAUUAAGAAGCCCCGGCUAACUACGUGCCAGCAGCCGCGGUAAUACGUAGGGAGCGAGCGUUAUCCGGAUUUACUGGGUGUAAAGGGUUCGUAGACGGAUGAACAAGUCAGAGGUGAAAUGCCGGGGUUUACCCCCGGGACGCCUUUGGAAACUGUGCAGCUCGAGUGAGGGAGAGGUAAGUGGAAUUCCUAGUGUAGCGGUGAAAUGCGUAGAUAUUAGGAGGAACACCAAUGGCGAAGGCAGGUUACUGGACUGUAACUGACGCUGAGGCACGAAAGCGUGGGGAGCAAACAGGAUUAGAUACCCGGGUAGUC